ACCCGCAUCGUUUCGUGGGUUUGGAAACGACGGGUGAGCGACGGUGAAGUUCCGGUGCGGUUUUUGGGACUUCCGGUUUGUUCGGUAAUCAGUUUUGGGAAACCGAUUCUCGUGAAAUUGUUUGUGGGAUUGUUGUGGGUUAUGCCUUUAGGGUUUCUUAGUUGUGGGUUAGACACUAAUCCAGUGGACCCUCCUUAGGUCCGGUUGACGUUCUUUUGCAGUCAGGAGACAGACGCGACAGUUGUACAGGUGGGUACUU
rnacentral:lncRNA from 1 species